rnacentral:rRNA from 1 species
GCUUCAGAGUCUACUUCGGUUUCAUGCUGUCGACGGGCCCCAAGCCUCUGGCCUUGGAGCUCGCAGUGUCGGCCGCUCGUGUUUGUGCACCAAGGUGCUCUUGCCCUUGAUGCAUGCAGUGCAUCUGGCCGCUGGUGGCAAGCAACUAACAGAACACUUCGGUGCCUCUGUUGCCUUGCUGUUGGCUGUGCCUGCACCCUUUUGGGUUUAUUCGGCUCCGGCCGUUGCCUUGACAUGAAGUUAGGUCAGCAAACCCGCUGAAUUUAAGCAUAUAAGUAAGCGGUGGAUAAGAAACUAAAUAGGAUUCCCUCAGUAAUGGCGAAUGAACAGGGAUGAGCUCAGCAUUGAAAUUUGGGCACUUGUGCCUUGAAUUGUAAUCUCGAGAUGUGCAGCCAAUGGAGGCGCAGGUGUAAGCCUCUUGGAAAAGAGCACCAACGAGGGUGAGAGUCCCGUUCGUCACUUGCAGUCCUUCGUGUACGGCGUACUUUCUAAGAGUCACGUUCCUCGGGCUUGGAGCGCAAAUGGUGGUAAAUUUCAUCUAAAGCUAAAUAUAGGUUUGAGACCGAUAGCAAACAAGUACCAUGAGGGAAAGAUGAAAAGGACUUUGGAAAGAGAGUUAAAAGUGCCUGAAAUUGCUGAAGGGGAAGCGAAUGGAACCAGUGUUUCUUGGCGAGAUUGUCAUACGCUAAGGUGAUCGGCGGUUGUUUGAGCGCAAGCCUUGCAUCUGUCUUUGAUCCGGACGCGUGUGGUGCUUCUUGCCUUGCCUGUCAGCGUCGAUUCGGGGCUGAGGAAAACUCUUUGGGACUGGUAGGUUGCCUACGGACGACUGAAUGCCCUUUGUAGAACUCACCUCCGGAUUGAAGACCUCGUGUCUGGUUGCAAUGCCCCUCAUCUAGCUUGCUGCCCUGGGAAAUUCAGCAGGCGCGCGGCUUUGUCGGCGGGUGCAUUCCUUGACGCGAAGAUGGUGACAAAAUGGUUUCACUCGACCCGUCUUGAAACACGGACCAAGGAGUCUAACAUAUGUGCAAGUUCCCGGGUGGCCAAACCUGCUGGCGUAAUGAAAGUGACUGCUGGGAUUUUUGCACCAGCAACCGACCAAUCGAUUUUGAGAGGUUUGAGUAUGAGCACAUCUGUUAGGACCCGAAAGAUGGUGAACUAUGCCUGAGAAGGGUGAAGUCAGGGGAAACUCUGAUGGAGGCUCAUAGCGGUACUGACGUGCAAAUCGUUCGUCAUACUUGGGUAUAGGGGCGAAAGACUAAUCGAACCAUCUAGUAGCUGGUUCCCUCCGAAGUUUCCCUCAGGAUAGCUGGAGUUGAACAGUUUUAUCAGGUAAAGCGAAUGAUUAGAGGAAUCGGGGACGCGUUGUUCUCGACCUAUUCUCAAACUUUAAAUGGGUU